CCUCUCAUGGCGUAGUGGUAACGCGCCCCAACUAGAGAUCGGGGAGUCGUGAAUUCGAUUCUCACUGAGAAGA
rnacentral:tRNA from 1 species